rnacentral:tRNA from 1 species
GCAGUCGUGGCCGAGUGGGGAACGCGAUGGGCUAGAAAUCCAUUGGGGUCUCCCCGCACAGGUUCGAAUCCUGUCGACUGCG